CAAAAUUUGCCAUAGGGUGGAGAGAGAUGUUAUCAGUGGUUAAUGUGAUAGCUGAGCCCCCCGGUUGGUAAUCCACCAUGAUUUACUACAAGUUCAAAUAGUCCGAAAAUAAUGUUAGCCGGAGUAGCCCGCUCGGUACAAACUGGUUAAAUCAAAAUGUUAGCCAGAGUAGCCCGCUCGGUACAAACUGGUUAAAUCAAAAUGUUAGCCAGAGUAGCCCGCUCGGUACAAACUGGUUAAAUCAAAAUGUUAGCCGGAGUAGCCUGCUCGGUACAAACUGGUUAAAUCAAAAUGUUAGCCGGAGUAGCCCACUCAGUACAAACUGGUUAAAUCAAAAUGUUAGCCGGAGGUAGCCUGCUCGGUACAAACUGGUUAAAUCAAAAUGUUAGCCGGAGUAGCCCACUCAGUACAAACUGGUUAAAUCAAAAUGUUAGCCGGAGUAGCUCGUUAGGGAACAAACUGGUUCAAUCAACGCUGUUCCAACGUAAUUUUAUCAAUGUAUUGUGACGUGGAAUCUACAUGGAAAAUACAUCUUGAUUUGACAAAAGUAAUCGGUUGUUCUGAGGAUGGGAUUUCUACCACAGGGUUAUGUUGUCAUGGUUACCCAUUUUCAACAAAGACAAACCUUUUACGUAAGGUAGGAUUUGAUUUACUCCUAGUCUUUAACUUUGACGUUUGGUUGAGACGUGAAUCGACAUUAAUUAUUAAUUUAAUUAUGGCUUUAAUUAAUAACUGGAAUUAAAGCCAGACUAAGUCAGUGGCAAAGAUGGAACUCUCCAAGCAGAAGAUACAUCUCAUUCAAAUGUUUAUAUAUGGUUGCGUUGACAACCAAGCACAAUUUCAUAUCACUUUUGAAAUGCAAAAACAAUUGCCUAUUAACUUGUCGACAAGUUAACAAAUGCUUUGUUGGAUUCACGUCUUCAACCCAUCUCCUUUAAAUGUUUAUAUUUGGUUGCACUCAACCAAAUGCAAUUCAAUAUUACUUUUACCUAAAGGUAAGAAAAGAUAUUUUAGAAAUCUUAAAAUUAAUAAAACAUCCAUGGCCAUAAUUUGAGGCUACUGUAACUAUACGUUUCGUCUUAUGUAAUCAUAUAAAGCGUGCAUGUUCAAUUGCUGUAAUAAUUUGCACAUAAUCUUGAACGGUGGAAUCUCAACUUCCAAUCCAGAGCGGUAUCCUACGAAGCAAGCUAGAUCUUCUCAGGGUUUUAUAAAGGUAACCAGCUUCACUUAGCUUCACAUUCCAGCUCAGGCUUCAUUUAAAUAAAUAAAAAGAUGUCUGCAAGCAGUUGUUACAGGAAAAAAAGCUUCAAGGCUUUUGUCCAAAACAAAAUAAGAGUCCAGGACAUGAACAACAACUUUCCGUUCUUCCAGGGAGAGAUGGAUGUCCUGAAAGAGGCUUGCAGCAAGAUGACAAUGAAC
ensembl:lncRNA